GACGAACGCUGGCGGCGUGCUUAACACAUGCAAGUCGAACGGAAAGGCCCUGCUUUUGUGGGGUGCUCGAGUGGCGAACGGGUGAGUAACACGUGGGUAACCUGCCCUUGACUUUGGGAUAACUUCAGGAAACUGGGGCUAAUACCGGAUAGGAGCUCCUGCUGCAUGGUGGGGGUUGGAAAGUUUCGGCGGUUGGGGAUGGACUCGCGGCUUAUCAGCUUGUUGGUGGGGUAGUGGCUUACCAAGGCUUUGACGGGUAGCCGGCCUGAGAGGGUGACCGGCCACAUUGGGACUGAGAUACGGCCCAGACUCCUACGGGAGGCAGCAGUGGGGAAUAUUGUACAAUGGGCGGAAGCCUGAUGCAGCAACGCCGCGUGCGGGAUGACGGCCUUCGGGUUGUAAACCGCUUUCGCCUGUGACGAAGCGUGAGUGACGGUAAUGGGUAAAGAAGCACCGGCUAACUACGUG
rnacentral:rRNA from 1 species